rnacentral:ribozyme from 1 species
AAGUGUUUUUUUUUUUUUUUUUUUUUUUU